rnacentral:rRNA from 1 species
UACAGAGGGUGCGAGCGUUAAUCGGAAUUACUGGGCGUAAAGCGUGCGUAGACGGUAGCGUAAGUCAGAUGUGAAAUUCCUGGGCUUAACCUGGGGGCUGCAUUUGUGACUGCACGGCUCGAGUGCGGCAGAGGGGGAUGGAAUUCCGCGUGUAGCAGUGAAAUGCGUAGAUAUGCGGAGGAACACCGAUGGCGAAGGCAAUCCCCUGGGCCUGCACUGACGCUCAUGCACGAAAGCGUGGGGAGCAAACAGG